CCUUGUAUUUCAGCUAACUCCAUAUGGAAGACUUUGGCUCCUUUGCACUGCAAAGUUUUUGUGUGGCUGGUUGUCCGCAAGCGACUUUGGACUGCAGAUCGCUUAGCCAGGCAUGAUCUCCCCCGCAAUGAGAGUUGCAUCCUCCGUAACGCCGAUGAGGAGGAUGUUGAUCAUCUUUUGUUGGGCUGCUCCAUAUCCAACAUAAUUUGGUGCUCAACUAUGAACUGGAUCGGUCUUCCAAAUAUCUCUCCAGUUGUGGCUAACUCAUUUGUCAACUGGUGGACAACGGCUAGGAUGAAUGUUCCUUCAAGCGAGAUUAAGAAGUUGAAUAGUAUGAUCGUCUUAGUGACUUGGACAAUUUGGAAUGAGCGCAACAGUAGAGUAUUUGAUAACAAAGCUAGCUCCAUUGAUCGUAUCUUGGACAAAAUCAAAGGCGACGCACUCAACUGGUCUAAAGCGGGCGCUAAAUGCAUGAGGUCGUUGUUCUCCUAG
rnacentral:rRNA from 1 species